rnacentral:lncRNA from 1 species
GAUACUCUUGGCGCUACCAGCAGGAAAGCAUGAAUUUCUCCCCCUCCUUCCCCUCCUCCACCCCACGCUUCUCUCCCUGGCUCUUUGUCUUCUUUGUCCUUCUCACAGACCCUGUGCUGGGCAAUCAAGUUGAAGAUACGCUGAGGUCCAUGCCGCUCCUCUGGCUGCCAUCCUCCCGAGGGGGAGAGACUGGAGCCUCAAGCACAGGUGUAUGAGACAGAAGGCACUGCUGGCCAGAAAUUCCAGAUCCAUCGGGAGCUUGCAAUGCUUCACCAGUUCUUGACAAGCACUUUGCAAACCCUCACGUCUUCCUCAUGAUCGCAGUGAAAUAUAGGCAUGAUCGACGCCAUUUACCGGCAAGGAAAACCAAGGUGCACCGAGGGAUUUAAAGGUAGGAUAGCCAUGGACUGGUCUACCAUGACUGUGGAAUAAUGGAGGGUGGCGCAAACGCUCUGAAUAUCAC